rnacentral:rRNA from 1 species
GUGCCAGCCGCCGCGGUAAUACGGAGAGUGCAAGCGUUGUUCGGAAUUAUUGGGCGUAAAGCGCGUGUAGGCGGCUUGAUAAGUCUGGCGUGAAAGCCUGAAGCUCAACUUCAGAAGUGCGCUGGAAACUAUCGAGCUUGAGUACUGGAGGGGGAAGGGGAAUUCUCGGGUGUAGAGGUGAAAUUCGUAGAUAUCCGGAAGAACAUCAGUGGCGAAGGCGCCUUCCUGGACAGAUACUGACGCUGAGACGCGAAAGCGUGGGGAGCAAACAGGAUUAGAAACCCCCGUAGUCC